UACGUAGGGGGCUAGCGUUGUCCGGAAUCAUUGGGCGUAAAGCGCGCGUAGGCGGCCCGGUAAGUCCGCUGUGAAAGUCAAAGGCUCAACCUUUGAAUGUCAGCGGAUACUGCCGGGCUAGAGUCCGGAAGAGGCGAGUGGAAUUCCUGGUGUAGCGGUGGAAUGCGCAGAUAUCGGGAGGAACACCAGUAGCGAAGGCGACACUCUGGGCCGGUACUGACGCUGAGGAGACGAAAGCGUGGGGAGCAAACA
rnacentral:rRNA from 1 species